rnacentral:rRNA from 1 species
GGGUUGUGAGGUUAAGCGACUAAGCGUACACGGUGGAUGCCCUGGCAGUCAGAGGCGAUGAAGGACGUGCUAAUCUGCGAUAAGCGUCGGUAAGGUGAUAUGAACCGUUAUAACCGGCGAUUUCCGAAUGGGGAAACCCAGUGUGUUUCGACACACUAUCAUUAACUGAAUCCAUAGGUUAAUGAGGCGAACCGGGGGAACUGAAACAUCUAAGUACCCCGAGGAAAAGAAAUCAACCGAGAUUCCCCCAGUAGCGGCGAGCGAACGGGGAGGAGCCCAGAGCCUGAAUCAGUGUGUGUGUUAGUGGAAGCGUCUGGAAAGGCGCGCGAUACAGGGUGACAGCCCCGUACACAAAAAUGCACAUACUGUGAGCUCGAUGAGUAGGGCGGGACACGUGGUAUCCUGUCUGAAUAUGGGGGGACCAUCCUCCAAGGCUAAAUACUCCUGACUGACCGAUAGUGAACCAGUACCGUGAGGGAAAGGCGAAAAGAACCCCGGCGAGGGGAGUGAAAAAGAACCUGAAACCGUGUACGUACAAGCAGUGGGAGCCUCUUUUAUGGGGUGACUGCGUACCUUUUGUAUAAUGGGUCAGCGACUUAUAUUCUGUAGCAAGGUUAACCGAAUAGGGGAGCCGAAGGGAAACCGAGUCUUAACUGGGCGUUAAGUUGCAGGGUAUAGACCCGAAACCCGGUGAUCUAGCCAUGGGCAGGUUGAAGGUUGGGUAACACUAACUGGAGGACCGAACCGACUAAUGUUGAAAAAUUAGCGGAUGACUUGUGGCUGGGGGUGAAAGGCCAAUCAAACCGGGAGAUAGCUGGUUCUCCCCGAAAGCUAUUUAGGUAGCGCCUCGUGAAUUCAUCUCCGGGGGUAGAGCACUGUUUCGGCAAGGGGGUCAUCCCGACUUACCAACCCGAUGCAAACUGCGAAUACCGGAGAAUGUUAUCACGGGAGACACACGGCGGGUGCUAACGUCCGUCGUGAAGAGGGAAACAACCCAGACCGCCAGCUAAGGUCCCAAAGUCAUGGUUAAGUGGGAAACGAUGUGGGAAGGCCCAGACAGCCAGGAUGUUGGCUUAGAAGCAGCCAUCAUUUAAAGAAAGCGUAAUAGCUCACUGGUCGAGUCGGCCUGCGCGGAAGAUGUAACGGGGCUAAACCAUG